CAGAGGACCUCAGUGAAGGGCCAGAUGGCGAGAGGAGACCGCCACCACCACAGGAGAACAACCACACGCCUGAAGCGCAGCCUGUGUCCGUUUGGCCUUGUAACUCCAGCCUGGGCGAAUAGCGGGACGCUAUUCCCCAGGCAAAACCAGAAAAUUUGGUGCAAAAGGGACAGUGAAGUGGUCGUUGCUGUCAUUGAAUCACCUGACAAGACUAGCACUUACCCACUUCGUCAGAGUGAACUCAAUUCCCUAGCACCACACAAGUGGCUGCUGGGUGAGACAGUCGAGUGCUACCUCAGAGCCAUCCUGAACAAGAAUGGUUUGGGCAAAAGAAUAUACCUCUUAAACCAUUACUCAGCUGGGGUAAUAGUUUUUGGAGCACGGUCUGACAUGAGUAAUCACUCUUUGCGCAAGGUUGACUUUGACAACUAUGACGGAGUGAUAGGGGCCAUCAAUGCAGGAAACAACCACUGGAAAUUCCUGUAUCUGCACAAGUCGAACGGAAAUGCGUACAUCAUGGGUCCCAUGGGUCAGGCUGAGGACAAAGACUCAGGUGAUGCUGCAUCACGGUUUCGCAAAUUAUGACAAUAUAACAAUGGCUGAAGAUGUGGUGGAGGCUUUUCCUCUUGUCCCCCAGCAAAUCCAAAUACCCACAUUGCAAAAAGGCCUAAAAGAUCUCAGGAUAAACAUGGCAAAGACUAUUCUGCAGUGCUCUGUCUUCAGUGAAAAGGACCACUGCUCUAGUUGUGGCCAGAAGUACUCAAAAGGACAGAGCCAAACCACAAAAUGGGUUGAAUGUACCAAAUGCAGAAGAUGGUACCAUCCAUGUUGUGUGGCAAUGUCUGAUGCAGAGUGGGAUGAGGAAAACACUGCAGCCUCAUCAAAAUGGCAGUGUGGUCUCUGUUGAUUUCAAAAAGGUUCUCCCUGCCUGUCUCCCUCCCACCUCACUGGGGAGAGCCACUCCACCUGUGGCCUCAACUAUAAAGGCAUGGCCUUUCAAAGAUGGCUCUGUCUCUCCCGCCUGGAUGGCUGGUUUGGUUUGGUGUGGUGUGGUUUGGUUUUGUUUGGUUCUGUUGGCUCUUUUGAAAUUCCAGAGAGAUAUUUCAAAGUAAAAGUGAGAAAUAUUCAUAAAUUAUGUUCAAUGAA